CCGUACGAUCACCGAAGUUAAGCAACGUCGAUCUUGGUAAAUACUUAAAUGGGUGACCUCUUGGGAAUACCAGGUGCCGUAAG